GACGGGGCCCGCACAAGCGGUGGAGCAUGUGGUUUAAUUCGAUGAUACGCGAGGAACCUUACCUGGGCUCAAAUGUAUGUUGACGUAUUCUGAAAGGGAUACUUCUUCGGACAAUAUACAAGGUGCUGCAUGGUUGUCGUCAGCUCGUGCCGUGAGGUGUCGGGUUAAGUCCCAUAACGAGCGCAACCCCUAUCAUUAGUUGCCAUCAGGUCAAGCUGGGGACUCUAAUGAAACUGCCUACGCAAGUAGUGAGGAAGGUGGGGAUGACGUCAAAUCAGCACGGCCCUUACGUCCAGGGCUACACACGUGCUACAAUGGCCGAUACAGAGGGCAGCUACCUGGUGACAGGAUGCAAAUCUCCAAAGUCGGUCUCAGUUCGGAUCGGAGUCUGCAACCCGACUCCGUGAAGUUGGAUUCGCUAGUAAUCGCGCAUCAGCCAUGGCGCGGUGAAUACGUUCCCGGGCCUU
rnacentral:rRNA from 1 species